AGCUAAUUUUUUAUGUUUGGGGUAGGCAGUGGAAAGUUACAGAAGUUACAGCUUAGGGUGGGCUUUUGCAAGCUGGGAAGGGGUCACAGGGUCGGGAGUCACGAGGUUGACCAAGGUCAGUUACAGGGUCCAAUGGCCUUGUCAAUUGAGGCCAGAAUAAAAAACAACAGAAGAAUGUCUCAGGUUAGUUAGGUGCCACAGGGGUUGAUCAUUCUUCCGCUUUCCAGUUGAUUCAGGUUUUCUAAUUCCAGAAGGCAUUCCAGAGGUAUGCGUGUG